GGAGAACAACAGGGGAGUCACCUGGACAGAAGAAGUUACCUGGGGAGGGUGAACCGUGCUGGACACAGAGUGAGAAACCUGGCUUCCACCCUAGCCCCCCUGCUUGCCAGGUGCCUGGGGGCAGAGUAUCCAAUGGACUCUAAGCUCUGAGGAAGGAGCCACAAGACGGCAAGAGCAUGAGUCCCUGAAGGACUAUGUGGAGCAUCUCCCCCAAGCCCUGCCACCCUGAAUGAAAAAAAAGGAAAAUAUUCAACAGGCCCUGAAACCAUCUGGUUGAAGGCAGAGGGACACCUUGAACUCAGGACCUCAGGUCUCCAGAUUGCAACUUUCUGAUACUGUCCACCACCUUCUGCCCCACCCACAGUUCUAUACCCAUCUUGUUGGGAGUGCUCUUUGGGGAGAAGCAUAACUCAGUGACUUGUAGUCAGAUAACCCUAGGUUGUUGGCCUCUUGAUUCUGGCACUUACUAAACCACGCGUCUUUGGGCAAGUCUCCUAACUUCUCCAAGAUCUGUCUUCUUAACUGUAGAGUGGAACAAUAAGCCCACCUCGCAGGAGAACAUACAAAAACCCCAGCCCAACCCACUGCAAUCUUCAGUGAUGGGGCGAUAUGUAGCGUCAGAGCAAACCCCGGACAUGCGGUG